rnacentral:rRNA from 1 species
GAUCAUGGCUCAGAUUGAACGCUGGCGGCAGGCCUAACACAUGCAAGUCGAACGGUAACAUUUCUAGCUUGCUAGAAGAUGACGAGUGGCGGACGGGUGAGUAAUGCUUGGGAACUUGCCUUUGCGAGGGGGAUAACAGUUGGAAACGACUGCUAAUACCGCAUAAUGUCUUCGGACCAAACGGGGCUUCGGCUCCGGCGCAAAGAGAGGCCCAAGUGAGAUUAGCUAGUUGGUAAGGUAACGGCUUACCAAGGCGACGAUCUCUAGCUGUUCUGAGAGGAAGAUCAGCCACACUGGGACUGAGACACGGCCCAGACUCCUACGGGAGGCAGCAGUGGGGAAUAUUGCACAAUGGGGGAAACCCUGAUGCAGCCAUGCCGCGUGUGUGAAGAAGGCCUUCGGGUUGUAAAGCACUUUCAGUUGUGAGGAAAAGUUAGUAGUUAAUACCUGCUAACCGUGACGUUAACAACAGAAGAAGCACCGGCUAACUCCGUGC